CGACAGAUAAGGAGCUUGCUCCUUUGACGUUAGCGGCGGACGGGUGAGUAACACGUGGAUAACCUACCUAUAAGACUGGGAUAACUUCGGGAAACCGGAGCUAAUACCGGAUAACAUAUUGAACCGCAUGGUUCAAUAGUGAAAGGCGGCUUUGCUGUCACUUACUAGAKGGAUCCGCGCCGUAUUAGCUAGUUGGUAAGGUAACGGCUUACCAAGGCAACGAUACGUAGCCGACCUGAGAGGGUGAUCGGCCACACUGGAACUGAGACACGGUCCAGAYUCCUACGGGAGGCAGCAGUAGGGAAUCUUCCGCAAUGGGCGAAAGCCUGACGGAGCAACGCCGCGUGAGUGAUGAAGGUCUUCGGAUCGUAAAACUCUGUUAUCAGGGAAGAACAAAUGUGUAAGUAACUGUGCACAUCUUGACGGUACCUGAUCAGAAAGCCACGGCUAACUACGUGCCAGCAGCCGCGGUAAUACGUAGGUGGCAAGCGUUAUCCGGAAUUAUUGGGCGUAAAGCGCGCGUAGGCGGUUUUUUAAGUCUGAUGUGAAAGCCCACGGCUCAACCGUGGAGGGUCAUUGGAAACUGGAAAACUUGAGUGCAGAAGAGGAAAGUGGAAUUCCAUGUGUAGCGGUGAAAUGCGCAGAGAUAUGGAGGAACACCAGUGGCGAAGGCGACUUUCUGGUCUGUAACUGACGCUGAUGUGCGAAAGCGUGGGGAUCAAACAGGAUUAGAUACCCUGGUAGUCCACGCCGUAAACGAUGAGUGCUAAGUGUUAGGGGGUUUCCGCCCCUUAGUGCUGCAGCUAACGCAUUAAGCACUCCGCCUGGGGAGUACGACCGCAAGGUUGAAACUCAAAGGAAUUGACGGGGACCCGCACAAGCGGUGGAGCAUGUGGUUUAAUUCGAAGCAACGCGAAGAACCUUACCAAAUCUUGACAUCCUUUGACCGCUCUAGAGAUAGAGUCUUCCCCUUCGGGGGACAAAGUGACAGGUGGUGCAUGGUUGUCGUCAGCUCGUGUCGUGAGAUGUUGGGUUAAGUCCCGCAACGAGCGCAACCCUUAAGCUUAGUUGCCAUCAUUAAGUUGGGCACUCUAAGUUGACUGCCGGUGACAAACCGGAGGAAAGGUGGGGAUGACGUCAAAUCAUCAUGCCCCUUAUGAUUUGGGCUACACACGUGCUACAAUGGACAAUACAAAGGGCAGCUAAACCGCGAGGUCAASCAAAUCCCAUAAAGUUGUUCUCAGUUCGGAUUGUAGUCUGCAACUCGACUACAUGAAGCUGGAAUCGCUAGUAAUCGUAGAUCAGCAUGCUACGGUGAAUACGUUCCCGGGUCUUGUACACACCGCCCGUCACACCACGAGAGUUUGUAACACCCGAAGCCGGUGGAGUAACCAUUCUAUGGAGCUAGCCGUCGAAGGUGGACCAAAG
rnacentral:rRNA from 1 species